UGGGUUGUAGCUCAGUGGUAGAGUGCUUGCCUCGCACACAUGAGGCCCUGGGUUCGAUCCUCAGCACCACAU
rfam:Ictidomys tridecemlineatus contig000852, whole genome shotgun sequence.